GCUGGGCAUGGUGGCGUGCACCUAUAGUCCCACCUACUCAGAAGGCUGAAGCGGGAGGAUCGCUUGAGCCCAGGAGUUCCAGGCCAUAGAGUGCUAUGCCGAUAGGGUGUCCACACUAAGUCUGGCAUCAAUACGUUCACCUCCUGGGAGCAGGGGACCACCAGGUUGCCUAAGGGGAGGGGUCAACUGACCCAGGUCAGAAACAGAACAGGUCAAAACUCCCAUGCUGAUCAGUAGUGGGAUUGCUCCUGUGAAUAGCCACUGCACUCCCGCCUGGACAACAUGGCGAGACCCUACCUCU
rnacentral:SRP_RNA from 1 species